rnacentral:rRNA from 1 species
CCCUUAGAUGUUCUGGGCUGCACGCGCGCUACACUGAUGCGCUCAACGAGUUUUAACCUUGCCUGGAAAGGUUGGGUAAUCUUUUUAAAACGCAUCUUGAUGGGGAUAGAUUAUUGCAAUUAUUAAUCUUCAACGAGGAAUUCCUAGUAAGCGCGAGUCAUCAGCUCGUGCUGAUUACGUCCCUGCCCUUUGUACACACCGCCCGUCGCACCUACCGAUUGAAUGACUCGGUGAAAAAUUGGGACUGUGAUUGAAAUUGCUUCAUUGCGAAUUUAAUUAUGGAAACUUUCUUUAACCUAGGCAUUUAGAGGAAGGAGAAGUCGUAACA